rnacentral:misc_RNA from 1 species
GUACUUUUUAUUUAACAUUUAAAUCGAACGUUUAAAUCGAACCCUCGAUAGAAUAGAUAGAAUAAACGUGUCCAAUAAAAUAAUCUCCUCCAUCAUCUGAUUUGAAUUCAACGAAUUUUUUUUUAUGAAUACACAUAGAGAGAAAUCUACCUAUUGUGGACACACGUACAAAUCAAUAAAUAAUGCAUGUCGUGCAAUAUCGGCUACAGAAGGAAUAAAUAGAGAAUUAUGUAUUAUCCACAGAUGGCAGUUAUACAGUGACUACGAAAGGAUUUGAUUUGAAAUAUAAAAGCUGAUAGGAAAACGGUUCAUUGGAAAAUAUGGACACGCGCAAAUAUUUUCUCGUGCCCGCAGUAUAUUAAAACAAAAAGUCAAAUGAAAUAUUUCUUAUCAAUGGCGAAGGAUAUUUUUCUCUUCUUCUUGACCCAGCAAUUGGAUUUCAAAUAUUAUAUAACGUUGAUUAAAAUUUCCUUUUCUCUCGA